CUCCCUUCUUUGCCUGUUGAGUCAUGAGAUGCCCAAAGUGGCUGGGUGGCAGUCUUAACUUCAAGUGCAAUGAAAUCUUUAUUGUGUCUCCUGGUGGAAGCAUCCUUCCCUCUGGAAGAAGGCCUCUAGGUCAGCAGAGCAUAAAGUCACAGGAACAGGAAGCAAAGGUCUUGCUGCUGAGUCAUUAGGGGAAAUAGGGUGCCACUCCCUUGAUUCCUGGACCCAUGAAUCCUGGCUAUCAGAGAAUCAGCACCAUAUAUCUAAUGCUGAUUCAGAGCACACACAGCCUCCUGGAGAACCUUGCCCCAGUCCCAGAACUGUGAAAUUCUCCUUAUAUGCCUGGUGAUCAUUGGUAAUAUGUGAUAAAGAACCACCUAGGUAUCCUCAGUGAUGGCAUCAUCAACUCGAUGGACAUGAGUUUGAGUACGCUCCAGGAGUUGGUGAUGGACAGGAAAGCCUGGCAUGCUGCAGUCCAUGGGGUCCCAAAGAGUCGGACACAACUGAGCGACUGAACUGAGGAACUUCCGGUAAGACCCAUUAGCUCUUCAAUAGAAGGCAUCAACUGAUGAAGAAGGAAACAGACAGAGCUGGACUCCAUCUUAGGCCUGGCUGUGAGCAUUAGGCUACACGCAUGGUCAUCCUCCCAAAGGACUCUGAACUUUGUGCCCAGUGUCUAUAGAAAUGGCAUACCCAUGGAACACCAGACCCCUGGAUAAAGGAGCCUCAAGACUUGUACUUGGACUCUCCUUUGCCUGAAAGAGUAUGCUAAUUAUCUCUGUAAGAGAACAAAGUGGUAAAUUCCAUUAUGUUUAUCCGGAUAUGACCCCAGGCCUAUUGAUAAACAUCCACUGUUUAUCUAGUCUUGUGA